UGGUAGAAGUAGGUAGCCACAUUGGUGAUU
rnacentral:piRNA from 1 species